rnacentral:rRNA from 1 species
CCCUUAGAUGUCCUGGGCCGCACGCGCGCUACACUGACAUGUUCAACAAGCCUCCUAGUUCGACAGGAUUUGGGAAAUCUUUGAACGCAUGUCGUGAUAGGGAUAGAUCAUUGCAAUUAUUGAUCUUGAACGAGGAAUUCCUAGUAAACGCGAGUCAUCAGCUCGCAUUGAUUACGUCCCUGCCCUUUGUACACACCGCCCGUCGCACCUACCGAUUGAAUGUUUCGGUGAAGAUUCCGGAUAGGACUUUUUUGAUUUAUUUCAAUUUUGUCUUAAAAGCUAUCUAAACCUCAACAUUUAGAGGAAGGAGAAGUCGUAACA